AAUUACAAAGGUCACGAGGUGGGGUGAGGUAGAGGACAAGGGAAGUUAAUUAGAAAGUAACAACUACAGGCAGCUUGGACUGUCCUAGAGGAUAGCUUAGACCGAAACACUGGCCUUCAUCCUAUCACAGCGGACCACCUCACCCCGUUCCGGACACAACCUCCCUGAGCCCUUAACCCUGAGCAGUCCGGGAGGAGUGCAUAUCUCUCCCUCUAAGCUCCCUUCCUAUCCCAAAGCUUGGCCUGCGUCUCCUGACGGGUGGAUAAGAUCUCCAAGCUUGAGGGGAGGGUCUUGAUGAAGAUAUUCCACUUAGGGCUGAGUGCUACAUAGUCUCUUCCACUCGUUGAACAACGCCAGUUGUGAAGAUCUGCUCUUAACAAGCCCCCAGGACGCUGUGCGGUGAUGCUGCAGCACACUGACAAGGAAUGGGAACCCCACGGAGCCAGUGCUCUCCCAUUGGACUUCCCUUCUGCAUGCUGGGCAAGUCAGGCGAUAAGUAUGGAGUCGAGGAGCUGUCUUCCUUGAGAAAUGAAGUGAAGAGCCACACUUGCCCUUUGAUGGACGUUCCUAGAUAGAGGAGAAGCAGGGAUUACCAAGAGGAUGCCAACUAAAUACACACUAUUCAUGUAUUUAAGUUUGAUCAACGAGACUACCAGAAAGAACCAAAAAUGCCAUUAGCUUCUCAAACUCCAGACCUAAAGAAAUCCAUUAAACAGGAUGUGAGAGCUACUGUUCCUCAGGGGCAUAUUGUAUGAGAAAAUCUUCUACUGCUGGACUCUGAAGAAUUAAGAAGAAAUGAUCAUGACCCUGGGAGAAGGCUGCCCUGAUGGUGAUAGAGGCUUGUGGGUGUGCCACAUACAGCAUCAGCAUCAGAUUGCGGGUUCACGCCUUUGGGAUCAAGGGAAAGAUGGUGUCUAGCUUAGGUAACGGUGAGGGGGUGGCUUGGUGGGAUAUAGAAUCCAGAUUUUUCACAGCCUACAAAUACGCAACUUUGAACUGCCUUAAUACAGCCUUUUGACACAACUGCCAGGUACCUUGUAAAGACUGAGCAAGUGUAAUUGAGUACUUUCAUUUCUACACUUCCUCAGAGACAAACAUAAUGCUCUCCACUGCCCAGGAGGAAACCAAGGCUCAGGAAAGUUCCUCUGCCUACCCUGUACUGGACUUUCACAACACAUCUCACCUACUUGUUUCUUGUUUUCUGUUGAUUCGAUAUAAAUGGCAUUAAGAAUCUACAAUUCCAA